rnacentral:rRNA from 1 species
UACGUAGGGGGCUAGCGUUGUCCGGAAUCAUUGGGCAUAAAGAGCGUGUAGGCGGUCCGGUAAGUCCGCUGUGAAAGUCGGGGGCUCAACCCUCGAAUGCCGGUGGAUACUGUCGGGCUAGAGUGCGGAAGAGGCGAGUGGAAUUCCUGGUGUAGCGGUGAAAUGCGCAGAUAUCGGGAGGAACACCAGUGGCGAAGGCGACUACCUGGCCUGUUCUUGACGCUGAGGCGCGAAAGCUAGGGGAGCAAACGGG